rnacentral:miRNA from 14 species
GAGAGAAGGAUGGAGAGAGAGAGGGAGGAAGAGUGGAGGUGGAGAGGUAACAGACAGGCGGCGUUGCGUCAGAACAUCUCUGCAUUGCUCCAGUCUGGUAGAGAUUAAAGCGGCGGUUGUACAACUGUUCUCUCUCUCUCUCCUCCUCUCUCCUCCUCUCCUCUCUCCCUCUCUCUCUCUCUCU